CCCUUAGAUGUUCUGGGCCGCACGCGCGCUACACUGGCGGAGGCAGCGAGCAUGUCCUUCGCCGAGAGGUGUGGGGAAUCUUGUGAGUCUCCGUCGUGCUGGGGAUAGAUGGUUGCAAUUGUCGAUCUUGAACGAGGAAUUCCUAGUAAGCGCGAGUCAUCAGCUCGCGCUGAUUACGUCCCUGCCCUUUGUACACACCGCCCGUCGCUCCUACCGAUCGAAGAGUUAGGUGAAUUGUUUUGAUCGAUAAGGUUUGACUAUGGUCAACUCUCGUUGUGAAAUUCUGUGAAUCUGACUGUUUAGAGGAAGGAAAAGUCGUAACA
rnacentral:rRNA from 1 species